GGCAUAAGCCACCAUGACCAGCCUUAAAAAGUAAUUUUAAAAUAUCACUGGUAAAAUGUGGAUUCAGUCAUGAUUGAGUGCAGUUUACCAUGUGUGUGGACAUUUAUUUAUUUUAAAAUUGUCUGAUCACCACCUUGAGUAAAACACAAGCAGUCACAAUUAAAAUAUAUUAGUGAGCAGGAGAAAGCACAGCAUAUUAUAGCACUGAAUGAUUUAUAAACCUAUUCCAGGGUCAUAAAAUGUGUCAACGGCUUUUCUAUAGUAAGGAGACUAGGUUCAGAUGGUUAAUCUAAGACAAAUAAAUGAGAUAAGCCAUACACUUUUACAUCCUCCAUGUCCUGUCUUUUCUCUGUUCAAAAUAGGAUGUUGACAAUGCGUCUCUGGCACGUCUUGACCUUGAACGCAAAGUGGAAUCUUUGCAAGAAGAGAUUGCCUUUUUGAAGAAACUCCACGAAGAGGAAAUCCAGGAGCUGCAGGCUCAGAUUCAGGAACAGCAUGUCCAAAUCGAUGUGGAUGUUUCCAAGCCUGACCUCACGGCUGCCCUGCGUGACGUACGUCAGCAAUAUGAAAGUGUGGCUGCCAAGAACCUGCAGGAGGCAGAAGAAUGGUACAAAUCCAAGUUUGCUGACCUCUCUGAGGCUGCCAACCGGAACAAUGACGCCCUGCGCCAGGCAAAGCAGGAGUCCACUGAGUACCGGAGACAGGUGCAGUCCCUCACCUGUGAAGUGGAUGCCCUUAAAGGAACCGUGAGUACCAACCCUGCAGUAAAAGAGGGAAAAUAAUGACCCAUUCUGCUGACUAGGCUCAUGAUGAUACCUGAACAAAAUGUUGAGUGAGUAAAAAUGUAUAUCAUAAUGCAAAGAAAAUGAGUUAUCAAGACAGACUCAAAAGGGACUUCAUGGAACUCUUGAAGGUUUUAGCUUGCCUAUAUCAUUGCUUCUAAUAUGAAGGACUUGGUACUC
rnacentral:lncRNA from 10 species